AUGUAGCCAAGUGGAUCAAGGCAGUGGAUUUGUGA
rnacentral:tRNA from 1 species